AUACUUACCUGGCAGGAGAGAUACCAUGAUCACGAAGGUGGUUUUCCCAGGGAGAGGCUUAUGCAUUGCACUCUGGAUGUGCUGAACCUGCGAUUUUCCCAUGUGGGAAACUCGACUGCAUAAUUUGUGGUAGUGGGGGACUGCAUUCUCGCUCUCCCCUG
rnacentral:snRNA from 1 species